rnacentral:miRNA from 1 species
AAAGUUCUUCAGAGAUUGGGUA